CGAGUGCCUGCUGGAAAAGGACAGGAGCCGAGUGGGCCAGUACGUGCGCCAGGCCCUGCCGUACCUGGAGAGCCCAGAGGAGCCCCUGCGAAAGCUGGCCAUCAAGUUCCUGGGGAUCGCCGCCAGGUCCAUGAAGCAGGAGCAGCCAGAGCUGCAGCUCAUCUGCCAGGCCCUUCAAGGCAUGACUGAUGACAGCCCUGCCGUUUCAAACCUGGCACU